ensembl:lncRNA
UUGGGCAACACUGUUUGUUUGUUUUUUCUCUUUUUUUCCUUCAGAGACCCGUUUUUGUUUUUGUUUUUAAGUAUGGUGAUAGUGAGUAUUUAUUGAGCUGGAGCUAGGGGGAUGGGGUUUGGUGUGGGGGGGCAGAGGAAGUUGUUGAGGGGGAGAGGAAGUUGUUGAGUGACAGAGGAGAGGAGGCUGGAAGGGCAGGCACCCCACCCAAGCCACCCUCCUGAAAGCAGGUGGGAAGCUGGCGCAGGGUUUUAGGUCGGCAUUUGGGUCAACAUUUGAGGUCAUCACAUUGGCAGACUUGUCAAGAAGGGGUCAGGAAGAGGACAAAGCAGGGCCCCUGCAUUUGAGUGAAAUUUGGCCAGGUGGGGGGCAGGGCAGGAGUGUGCACUGGACAGAGUUAGGGUGGAGCUCCCAGGUUUGGGUGUGGGAAAGAAGGGAUCAAGGAAUACAGGCUUGAAUCUGGGACGGUUUGUUGGGAGCCAGACGGGCAGGAUGAGAAAUGAAUGAGGAGCUGAGGCCAGGCACCAGUGAGUGAGGACCAGCAGGAGGGGGACAGCAAGGUCAUGGGCCCUCCAGGAGCUGGGGAGGGUCGGGAGGAGGAAAUGAAGCGGGGUGGAGAUACAUCCGGAGCUUUCCCUCUCCUGUCCUGCAGGAGGUGGACAUCUACACUGUCAAGGUGGGAGACCGGACGUUCACCUCCCGCUUCUGCCUGCAGGUGAAGCAGAACGACUAUGUGCACGCCCUGGUGGCCUACUUCAAUAUCCAGUUAUAGAACUGAUAACAGAAGGGCAUCCUGGCCAUUUCACCCAUGGACUUGAACUUGCCCGUGGACUGAGAUCUUCCUCAGAAGCUGCUACAAGAUUGGACCUCAUGUCCCUGCCCUCUUCAUGUACUUUUCCAAGCCUUCCUAUUCUACUCAGGGCUGUGAGGUGAUGGUUGUCCUUCCAAUUUUUGUCAAAAAUAAAUUGUUUAAAAAUUGUCAUAUUAAAAACAUUACAAAGUAUUCAAUUGUCUGUUCUUUCACUCGAGAACUAAAGUUCUAAGUAGAGAAGAUUUGGUUCAGAGAUCUCUGUGGUUUACAAAUUGAAGGAUAUCUAUUUGGAGUACCUACAAGGGCCUAUUGCCUGGAUGUGUAACAUAUUUGAGGAUAUCUAUAAAUAUGAUUCCAGCAACUUGCAUUUUUUUCUCCUAUUGUGCAAUCUGGUUAUUCCAGCUAAUCAUGUGUUGAUGGUCAUGAAGUCUUUCCAGCGAGUUCCAGAGAAAGGUACAGUCUAACUUCACCUGUGUCUAGGAUACCACCGUCUUCUUGCUUUUCUCCUCCUAUUGCUCUUUUUGAGUCUUUUUUGCUGAUUUCUCAUCUACCUAUAGACAGUUGUUUGUCACACACCCAUACACAACUUUUUUUUUUUGAGACAGGGUCUUGUUCUGUUGCCUAGGCUGAAAUACAGUGGUGCUACCAUGACUUACUACAGCCUUGACCUCCUGGGCUCAAGUGAUCCUCCCACAUCAGCCUCUCCAGUAGCUAGGAAUAAAGGCAUGUACUACUACAUCUAGCUAAUUUAAAAAAAAAUUGUAGAAAUGUUGUCUUGUAACCUUUGUUUUCCCAAAGGUUACUGAACUGCUGCCUAAGCCUAUGUACCUUGAUUUUAAGAAGGCCUCUGCUUGAGACUUAGAGAGGUUUAGUGGUAUCUACUAUCAUCC